CCUACGUGAGGCAGCAGUGAGGAAUAUUGGUCAAUGGUCGGGAGACUGAACCAGCCAAGCCGCGUGAGGGAUGAAGGUACAGAGUAUCGUAGACCUCUUUUGUCAGGGAACAAAGGCGGGGACGUGUCCCCGGAUGAGUGUACCUGAAGAAACAGCAUCGGCUAACUCCGUGCCAGCAGCCGCGGUAAUACGGAGGAUGCGAGCGUUAUCCGGAUUUAUUGGGUUGAAAGGGUGCGCAGGCGGUCUGUUAAGUCAGCGGUCAAAGCCCGGUGCUCAACCCCGGCCCGCCGUUGAAACUGGCAGUCUCGAGUGGGAGAGAAGUAGGCGGAAUGCGCGGUGUAGCGGUGAAAUGCAUAGAUAGCGCGCAGAACUCCGAUUGCGAAGGCAGCAGGCCGGCUCCACACUGACGCUGAGGCACGAAAGCGUGGGUAUCGAACAGGAUUAGAUACCCGAGUAGUC
rnacentral:rRNA from 1 species